UUAAAUCCAACGCCCCCCAAACCGGCGGUGAUGGGGGCCGCUGUAGUAGUGCAUGACUGAUGCAGAGUGGUGUCAACUUGUUGCAAAGUGGUCAGAUCCAAAAGAACCAGGUCUGCAUGCUAUCUUACCACAUCGCAUUUACAUUUUCUUGCUACGAGUCUAACAUAAACAUCCCCUGCAGGCAAUCUCUAAGUAGAACUCAAAGAACCGUGGUAAUGUAAAAUUUCCUUAGACUACAUGAUCUCGUAGCUAUGUCGCACAAUUAUACUCAUAUGUAACUGACAUGAGACAUCUUGUUUUGCUUUUGCUUGACUGAUAACGUUGUGACAAUGCUUAGCUAAUAAUGUUGUCAUGAUGCUUGGAAUAUUAUUGUUCUCUUUCCAUUACUUCAUACACUAUUUGAUGUUUGGAAUACUAAUUUUGAUAACUUCUAUUUCAAUACUGAAACAGUCACAGAACAAAAAAAAAGGUGCUAAACUUGAUGACGUUGCUGAAUAAGAUGUUGAUGCGAUUGAAGCAUUUACGGUCUGCCAUACCAGUCGCAAAAAGGGUAUGAGUGUGACCGCAAGACAAGCAUCUGCUGCUAUGGAAAGCAUGCGAACAGAAUCUGCUGAUGAUGGGCAGGCACCAAUGCCUAGUGCUCAGGUUGUUUCCAAGGUGCUCUCUGAAAAUACCUCAAACAACACAUUUCUGAAGAAUACUGGUGUUCCUGUUAAAUCCAAGAAAUCAGAGACUUUGGCUGAAAAAGGCCCUUAAAGAACAACUCGCUGCUGCAAACCAAGUGGCCACUGAUCUCCAUGAGCAAGUUGAUGUAGUGAAGAAGAAGAGUGAAGACCAGGACCAAGUGUUGCUGCAGACGCAAAAGGAGUUGGAGGAGUUCAAGAAACAACAAUAAGAGAACAACUAGCUCCUUAAGCGUAUCUUGAUGUUGAACUCUGCUGGUAACUUCUCUCAGCCUUGACCACCUGAAGUUGAUGGAGGAAUGCCUCUAAUUUUGGGACCUGAUGUUUGUGGUUGUGAUGAACUUAUGUCAGUACGUUGUUGUGAUGAUCUGAUGUCAAUAUAUGUUUGUGAUGGCGGUGUUGUGAUGAACAGAUGUCAGUAUGCGUUUGUGAUGAACAAGUUUAUGUCAGUAUGGUGAAAUUAUGUCAGAAUUUUUCUA